CAGCAGCCGCGGGAACACGUAGGGUGCAAGCGUUAAUCGGAAUUACUGGGCGUAAAGCGUGCGCAGGCGGUGGUUUAAGUCCGUUGUGAAAGCCCUGGGCUCAACCUGGGAAUUGCAGUGGAUACUGGGUCACUAGAGUGUGGUAGAGGAUAGUGGAAUUUCCGGUGUAGCAGUGAAAUGCGUAGAGAUCGGAAGGAACAUCUGUGGCGAAGGCGACUAUCUGGGCCAACACUGACACUGAGGCACGAAAGCGUGGGGAGCAAACAGGAUUAGAUACCCGAGUAGUCCCUGUCUCUUAUAC
rnacentral:rRNA from 1 species